AGCGAACGCUGGCGGCAGGCUUAACACAUUCAAGUCGAGCGGGCAUAGCAUUAUGUCAGCGGCAGACGGGUGAGUAACGCGUGGGAACGUACCUUUUGGUUCGGAACAACACAGGGAAACUUGUGCUAAUACCGGAUAAGCCCUUACGGGGAAAGAUUUAUCGCCGAAAGAUCGGCCCGCGUCUGAUUAGCUAGUUGGUGAGGUAAUGGCUCACCAAGGCGACGAUCAGUAGCUGGUCUGAGAGGAUGAUCAGCCACAUUGGGACUGAGACACGGCCCAAACUCCUACGGGAGGCAGCAGUGGGGAAUAUUGGACAAUGGGCGCAAGCCUGAUCCAGCCAUGCCGCGUGAGUGAUGAAGGCCCUAGGGUUGUAAAGCUCUUUUGUGCGGGAAGAUAAUGACAGUACCCGUAGAAGAAGCUCCGGCUAACUUCGUGCCAGCCGCCGCGGUAA
rnacentral:rRNA from 1 species